GAGACAGCAGUCGCCGCGGUAAUACGUAUGUCACAAGCGUUAUCCGGAUUUAUUGGGCGUAAAGCGCGUCUAGGUGGUUAUGUAAGUCUGAUGUGAAAAUGCAGGGCUCAACUCUGUAUUGCGUUGGAAACUGUGUAACUAGAGUACUGGAGAGGUAAGCGGAACUACAAGUGUAGAGGUGAAAUUCGUAGAUAUUUGUAGGAAUGCCGAUGGGGAAGCCAGCUUACUGGACAGAUACUGACGCUAAAGCGCGAAAGCGUGGGUAGCAAACAGGAUUAGAGACCCCAGUAGUCCCUGUCUCUUAUACA
rnacentral:rRNA from 1 species